rnacentral:misc_RNA from 1 species
AAGUCGUAACAAGGUUUCCGUAGGUGAACCUGCGGAAGGAUCAUUAACACGUAUCCAAACGUUAAAACCCCCCCCGUGAACCUUCAUCCUGCUCUUGUAACCCGCGUAGUUCGCAAUCUCUGAUAAAUCAUAGCUCCAAGCAGUCAGUGUCGGAAAGUGUCAUUGAUUGUGCAAGGAUAGCGCUUCUACGAUUCCUGUAGACCGUACACUCGGGCAGGAGCUUUGCCAAAGGGUCCCCAUGUCCCCUAAUAACCCCACAGUUUAAUGUGAAGCUCAAUGUAAUACAUUGGGUAAAAAAACCGAACAACUGUUAACAAUGGAUAUCUUGGUUCUC